AUCAGAUAUAGUAAGGUCUAAGGUCUGAAAACCAUACAACCCAAUUGGCUCUCCCAUAAUGCACAAAACCCAGCCAGUCAACCCUACCCAUGAAACCUAAUAGACCCAAAGGCGAGAGCCUCCACCUUGACGUGCAGCUACCACCGGAAUCAUCUGAAAGAGGUUGCCGGAGACCAAAAAGGGAGUUUCUUCUUCCAAAUCCUUGCUAGCUUCCCAAGGUCAUAAAGAAAUCGACAAAACCAAAUAGAUCCAUCGCAACUGGCAAACUAGGCUCAAAACCAAUCAUAACAGGGUAGAGAGAAUGGCAUAGGCCAUAGCAAAACCAACAAAAUACUUCUUAACGCCAGCUAUAAACCCUCGGAAUUGCCUUCAUUGGAACCUCUCCCGCUCUGAAAUACCAGCUCAUCCCACUGAAUCUGCGACACCAAGAAGAAACUGACCCAUGGAGACCAAGUUUCCUUUAACCAAACAAAGCCACUUGUAGGACAAAACAAGAUCCCUCGCCAUUAAACCCCAUCCUACCAAGCCAAAACCAAGCACCAGAACUACGUACAGUUUCACCCAGAGAUGAGGAUAAAAAAACUAUACCUUUGGAAGGAGAGGAAAACCUUCCCAAACUAUACCUUUGGAAGGAGAGGAAAACCUUCCC
rnacentral:misc_RNA from 1 species